rnacentral:rRNA from 1 species
GACGUCUACGAGUUUGAUCAUGGCUCAGAACGAACGCUGGCGGCAGGCCUAACACAUGCAAGUCGAGCGAACCCUUCGGGGUUAGCGGCGGACGGGUUAGUAACGCGUGGGAAUAUACCCUUUGGUACGGAAUAGCCUCGGGAAACUGAGAGUAAUACCGUAUGUGCCCUUCGGGGGAAAGAUUUAUCGCCAAAGGAUUAGCCCGCGUUGGAUUAGAUAGUUGGUGGGGUAAUGGCCUACCAAGUCUACGAUCCAUAGCUGGUUUGAGAGGAUGAUCAGCAACACUGGGACUGAGACACGGCCCAGACUCCUACGGGAGGCAGCAGUGGGGAAUCUUAGACAAUGGGCGCAAGCCUGAUCUAGCCAUGCCGCGUGGACGAUGAAGGCCUUAGGGGUUGUAAAGUCCUUUCAGAUGGGAAGAUAAUGACGGUACCAUCAGAAGAAGCCCCGGCUAACUCCGUG